CUACGUGCCAGCAGCCGCGGUAAUACGGAAGGUCCAGGCGUUAUCCGGAUUUAUUGGGUUUAAAGGGAGCGUAGGCUGGAGAUUAAGUGUGUUGUGAAAUGUAGACGCUCAACGUYUGAAUUGCAGCGCAUACUGGUUUCCUUGAGUACGCACAACGUUGGCGGAAUUCGUCGUGUAGCGGUGAAAUGCUUAGAUAUGACGAAGAACUCCGAUUGCGAAGGCAGCUGACGGGAGCGCAACUGACGCUGAGGCUCGAAAGCGUGGGGAGCAAACAGGAUUAGAUACCCUGGUAGUCCGCACAGUAAACGAUGGAUGCCCGCUGUUAGCGCCUGGCGUUAGCGGCUAAGCGAAAGCAUUAAGCAUCCCACCUGGGGAGUACGCCGGCAACGGUGAAACUCAAAGGAAUUGACGGGGGCCCGCACAAGCGGAGGAACAUGUGGUUUAAUUCGAUGAUACGCGAGGAACCUUACCCGGGCUUGAAUUGCAGAGGAAUUAUUUAGAGAUA
rnacentral:rRNA from 1 species